rnacentral:lncRNA from 1 species
CGCCACCCGUUUCAAAAGUAACGACGCAGCAGGCCGUCGGGCCCUUUGCGCAGGCGCGAUGAACCUCUAGGUCCCGCCCCACGGAGCCGGGACUGGCCAGUCCUCUCUGUGCUCGCCUGAGCUGUUUUCUCGCGCAGGCGCAGUGGGUAGGCGUGGUCACGCAUUUCCGGGUACUCACGCUCUGGAGCGUCCCAGUCUGGCUCCUCUAGUGGAAAAUUUCAUGGAAGAACCCAAGACAUUUUCAAAUUGGAGAACCGAUUGGAUGGAUGAGACAAUCAUCUUUGAGGGCUUUGAAGUUUAGUCUGGAAGAGGAUUUAGCACUCUGUGAGUUUAUAUUUAAGAUUGCAAUAUUGACUGAUUAUCUUCUAAAAAAUGUUAUGGACAUAAUAAAUUGCUUGCAACACUCAA